GCCAGCUCUUACCCCCUCCAGAGCUAAUUGUUGGUAUCUUUCCCAACCCCAUAUUAAGUGACUACAUGUUGGUAGCUUGAAAUUGGCCAUGGUAGGAAUACUUACAGAAAAUGACAAACAAUACAAAUCAGUCCUUCUCCCCAUAUGGUUACUACAUGUCUAUCAGCAUACUACUGAUGUGGGUGGUAGAAACCAGUAGAGUGAAUUCUCCUUGGUUGUGACCCUACUAUACAUUUGAGCCUGGUUCUAGAAAGGUCUCAAGAGCUUAGCUGACACUACAUACCUUUAUGGCUGGAAUACUGCUGAGGACUCUAGGUUCUAUGUGGUGGAGAGGCUGAUAGGGAGAAAGGAUGAGUGUGGAGUGACAGGCUUUGAUGGGUCACUUUAGGACUCGGUGAGAUGAGAGAUGGGUGCCGGAAAAAGGGCUUCCCUUCCUUGACUCUAAUUCAGUAGAAGCUGGCGAGGCCCGGUGCGGGUAGAGGAGCAAGGGAAGGAAAUCCCUUGGCGAGACUUGGAGGGCCACUGCGGUCCUCUAGGCGGUCGUAUUGGCACUAUGCUGCGGUCCUUCCCCUUUCCACCACCAGAAGGCGCUCUUGCGCGGUCUUGGGGCCGACCUUCCCAGCCCAGGUUGGCGACACUCUAGUCGCCGCUUCUCUAAGGCCCGCGGAGCUGGCUCGGAGCCGCGGGAGAAAGGCCCUCCUGCGUGCGCGCAGCCUGCGGAAGCGGGCCAUGGAGCGGCUCCCAAAGCUCGUAGUCUUCGAUCUGGAUUACACACUCUGGCCGUUCUGGGUGGACACGCACGUAGACCCCCCGUUCCACAAGAGCAGUAAUGGAACUAUACGAGAUAGGCGGGGCCAGACCGUCCGACUGUACCCAGAGGUGCCUGAGGUCCUGGAAAGAUUGCAGAGCCUGGGGGUGCCCGUCGCGGCCGCUUCACGGACUGGUGAGGUUGAAGGGGCCAACCAGCUACUGGGGCUCUUUGACCUUGUCAGAUACUUUGUUCAUCGGGAAAUCUAUCCAGGCAGCAAGGUCACACACUUUGAGAGGUUGCAGCGGAAGACUGGAGUUCCUUUCUCCCAGAUGAUCUUCUUUGAUGAUGAGAAGCGGAAUAUUGUUGACGUCAGCAAACUGGGUGUUACCUGUGUUCGUGUCCAGAAUGGAAUGAGCCUUCAGACCCUAACUCAAGGAUUAGAGACAUUUGCAAAGGCCCAAGCUGGACACUGAGGUGCAGUCCUGUGGAUGAGCCUCAUUUAAGGCAUAGAACUGAAAGGAAAUCAGGAGGGCAUUUUCAGGGAAGAAGGAGAGGGGGCCAACUCCUGAAGAGGCAAUACAGAAACUGAAGGAGACAGAGAAGAUAUUGAUCAAGAAACAGGAAUUUCUGGAGCAGAAGAUUGAACAGGAGCUACAAACUGCCAAGAAGCAUGGG